GGGCAAUUGGUCUAGGGGUAUGAUUUUCGCUUCGCAUCCAGUUCUCAUUCUUGAACCUAAAUGCGCCUUGUGAAAGGUCACCGGUUCAAAUCCGGUAUUGUCCA